GCGCCGAUGGUGUAAUGGUUAGCAUUAAUGCCUUCCAAUCUCGUAGUUAUUACUACGACAUGCUCUAGCAUUAGAUUCGGGUUCGAUUCCCGAUCGGCGCA
rnacentral:tRNA from 1 species